AGUUUUAUAGUCUAAAUAAUGAUAUUAAAUUGCAAAUUUAAUGAUGAAUUUUAAAUUCUAAGGCUU
rnacentral:tRNA from 1 species